GAUGAACGCUGGCGGCGUGCCUAACACAUGCAAGUCGAGCGAACAGACGAGGAGCUUGCCCCUAUGACGUUAGCGGCGGACGAGUGAGUAAUACGUGGCUAACCUAUCUAUAAGAAUGGGAUAACUCCGGGAAACCGGAGCUAAUACCGGACAAUAUAUAGAACCGCAUGGUUCAAUAGUGAAAGACGGAUUAGCUGUCACUUAUAGAUGGAUCCGCGCCGCAGUAGCUAGUUGGUAAGGUAACGGCUUACCAAGGCGGCGAUGCGUAGCCGACCUGGGAGGGUGAUCGGCCACACUGGAACUGAGACACGGUCCAGGCUCCUACGGGAGGCAGCAGUAGGGAAUCUUCCGCAAUGGGCGGAAGCCUGACGGAGCAACGCCGCGUGAGUGGUGGAGGUCUUCGGAUCGUAAAACUCUGUUAUGAGGGAAGAACAAAUGUGAAAGUAACUAUGCACGUCUUGACGGUACCUAAUCAGAAAGCCACGGCUAACUACGUG
rnacentral:rRNA from 1 species